UCAGCUCCCCGGUUCUCUCGCAGGCUCAUAGGAUGCGUCCCGGGGGCUGACAACCCCUAACCCUGCGUUUACAGCCCCGGAGCUCGGAGCUGGUCACCCCCAGGUCGUCUCCCAGGUGGGCAGCCAGGGGCUCCUCCCGUUCCCGAGCCCUUUGGCGGAGGGGCAGGGAUCCCACCGGCUGCUUUCUCUGCACCGACUCCGGUUUCUCCGAACUGGCUGUGGUUCAGAGAGAUUUCGGUGCGAUAUUCUGCCCCUGCACGUCCCUCUGGCUGGAGCCCAGCGGGGAGAACUGAGACGUUCAGCCAGCACAUUUCAAAGAAAGGAUUUUAAUUAAAAAGAUGCCCUGGUCAGCGGGGCACAGGUUUCUCUGGGGAUGUGGGGAGGAGGAGUGAGCUCGGCGAGUGGUGUGGGAGAAAUUUGUGGCUGCCCAGGGCCAGCUCUGGGCUUGAGAGCUUUGCAAGGAAAGCAGCAGGAUGAGGUGGUGCCUGCGGGCACUUCCCAUGUGCCCGGUGCUCCACGUGCGCCAUGUGCACCACCACCAUGGGCAGGGUGCUCCCGCAAACAUCUGCAGUGCCCUGAAAGCCCAGUGCAAAGCAGGGGGUUCCCAAAGCAUUUGCUGCCCCCCGAUGUCAGCCCCUCUCAGCAGCCUGCCAGGGGGCAUCUGGGCUUGGGGAGGAAUCAGGCUGGGGAAGUGCGGGAUGCCCAUGGACUGGGAGGCUUGAAGGAGGGCAUGGCCCUCGUGUGCAUCCUACAGAGCCAGGCAUAGUUUGGCCUCUUGGGUGGUUCCUCACCCCCUUGGGGGAGCUGUCACCUUCCCAUGUUCCUGGUACGUUGCCGGGAUGCUCCUGAAAAAAAGAUCCCACAUUUCAGACAAGGCAAGGGGUGUUUCUCUCCAGAGGAGCCUUGGCCCGUGCCACUGAUGGCUGUGAAGGGCCCCAUUUGUGGUCAGUGCCGGUGAGAUGGAGGGAGAGCUAUGGAAGGAUUUGGCCGCCAGGAUGGCAGGGGAUGGAGGUGCGAAGCCACAGCACCAGCCCUCGGAAAUGCCUGGUGAGGUGCGACAUCGCGAGGCAGCGAGGAAAGGGUGGGGAGCGACUACGUGAUGCUUCGCAGGGAGAACUGAUCUUAUUAAUAAAAGCUGCUUCUUCCCAGGGUCUUGAUAAUCUCUCCUGCUGCAGAUUAUUUACAGCUGUGGAAUUUAAUACUCCGAUGAACAAAGCUCCCCAAAGCAGAGAGGGAGCGGGCUGUUAACCCUUCUGCGCAGCACCGGGCACUUUCAGCCGGGGUUUUAUGUCUCAGUGCCUCUGAGCCAGCAGCUGCCAUAGCCCCACCACAUCUCUGCACCCUCGUGGCCAGUAUCUGGGCCAGGCUUAUCACACAGACGUGGCUUCUUGGACAGAGCGGUGCCUUAGGCCCUGGAGCUCGACAGAGAGUCCUGCCCCACAUCUUUUCCGGGUGAGCAUCUCCACAGAGGCCAUCUCUCCCUACCCACACAGGACGCCCCAAGAAGACCACUGUCCCCCACCUCCCACCAAAGAAUGUCUGGACACCAAGUCCUGGCCAUCACCCAGGGAACAGGCACCCUUGGAGGAGCUGAAUCUGAUGCAAACCCCACAUCUGAACACAGGGGAACAGGCCCCUGGGCAGGGCUGGCCAGGGAGGCACAUUGGUCACAGCAGUAUGUCCUAGGGG